rnacentral:rRNA from 1 species
UCGACAACCUGGUUGAUCCUGCCAGUAGUCAUAUGCUUGUCUCAAAGAUUAAGCCAUGCAUGUCUCAGUGCAGGCCUUUAUACGGUGAAACCGCGAAUGGCUCAUUAAAUCAGCUAUGGUUUAUUGGAUCGUACCCGUUAAAUGGAUAACUGUAAUAACUCUAGAGCUAAUACAUGCCACGAUGCCCUGACUUGCGGGGAUGGGUGCACUUAUUAGAUCAGAAGCCAACCGUGCACGGCCAAAAGCUGUGCAUGUUGCCCUUCUGGUGACUCUGGAUAAUUGUUACAGAUCGCAGUCGGCCUUGAGUCGGCGACGGGUCCUUCAAAUGUCUGCCCUAUCAACUUUCGAUGGUAGGUGACCUGCCUACCAUGGUGAUAACGGGUAACGGGGAAUCAGGGUUCGAUUCCGGAGAGGGAGCCUGAGAAACGGCUACCACUUCCAAGGAAGGCAGCAGGCACGCAAAUUACCCACUCCCGGUACGGGGAGGUGGUGACGAAAAAUACCGAUGCGGGACUCUCCAAAGAGGCUCCGUAAUCGGAAUGAGUGGACUAUAAAUCCUUUCACGAGGAUCCAUUGGAGGGCAAGUCUGGUGCCAGCAGCCGCGGUAACUCCAGCUCCAAUAGCGUAUAUUAAAGUUGCYGCAGUUAAAAAGCUCGUAGUUGGAUCUCGGUAGGACUGUGACCUGUCGGAAUUUGGGUGGAUGGCUGUCGGUGCAUGGGCCUCGUUGUCCGUGUUGCCGGCGCUGCUGUUCAUUCCAGGCUGACAAGGUGACGGUGUUACCUUUAAGCCAUGUCUGUGGUGCAAUACCCGCAGGUGUAGGCGAGUGUCUGGCGAUGCUUACCCUGUUGUAGGGCUUGUCGGCUCGUUUGCAUGCCCUUGGAUGCCCUUCAAAAGGUGUCUGGGGGCGGAUGGCACGUUUACUUUGAACAAAUUUGAGUGCUCAAAUCAGGCCGUUGUUGCCUGAAAAGUUUUGCAUGGAAUAAUGGAAUAGGACUUCGGUUCUAUUUCGUUGGUUUUCGGAUCCGAAGUAAUGAUCAAAAGAGACAGGCGGGGACGUUUGUAUGGCUGCGCUAGAGGUGAAAUUCAUGGACCGUAGCCAGACAAACUAAAGCGAAAGCAUUCGUCAAGCAUGUUUUCAUUGGCCAUGAGCGAAAGUCAGAGGCUCGAAGACGAUCAGAUACCGUCCUAGUUCUGACCAUAAACGAUGCCAACUGACGAUCCGUGGUGGUAGUCUCUCAACCUUCCCCACGGGCAGUCCCCGGGAAACCUUUAAGUCUUUGGGUUCCGGGGGAAGUAUGGUUGCAAAGCUGAAACUUAAAGGAAUUGACGGAAGGGCACCACNAGGAGUGGYGCCUGCGGCUUAAUUUGACUCAACACGGGAAAACUCACCCGGGCCGGACACUAUGAGGAUUGACAGAUUGAUAGCUCUUUCUUGAUUUGGUGGAUGGUGGUGCAUGGCCGUUCUUAGUUGGUGGAGCGAUUUGUCUGGUUAAUUCCGAUAACGAACGAGACUCCAGCCUGCUAAUUAGUGCGUUUGUCUACUGUGCCUGUGUAGGCGGCGUGGAAUUAUGCUAGCGUUCCUUUCAUGAUGACUAUUGUCGGCUUUCCGUAAGGUGGCUGGCGAGAAUCGUCUGGUCUGUGGCUAAUGAAGCGUUAGCCUCCGGGUACGGCGCGAGCGUUUACUUCUUAGAGGGACAAGUGGUGGAAAGCCAUACGAAAUAGAGCAAUAACAGGUCUGUGAUGCCCUUAGAUGUCCGGGGCCGCACGCGCGCUACAAUGACGGUGGCAACGAGUGAGACCUUCUGGCCUGAAAGGGUUGGGUAAACUGGUCAAUCACCGUCAUGACAGGGAUCGGGGCUUGGAAUUGUUCCCCGUGAACGAGGAAUUCCUAGUAAGUGCAAGUCAUAAGCUUGCGCUGAUUACGUCCCUGCCCUUUGUACACACCGCCCGUCGCUACUACCGAUUGAAUGGUUUAGUAAGGUCCUUGGAUUGGUGCCAUUGUGGCUGUUGCCGAGAGGUGAUUGCCCGACGGGCGUCGAGAAGACGACCGAACUUGAUCAUUUAGAGGAAGUAAAANUNGUAACANGGUUUCCGUA